rnacentral:rRNA from 1 species
UACGGAGGGUGCAAGCGUUGUCCGGAUUUAUUGGGCUUAAAGGGUGCGUAGGCGGUUAAUUAAGUCAGUGGUGAAAGCCCGGAGCUCAACUCCGGAACUGCCAUUGAAACUGUUUAGCUGGAGUAUGAGAGAGGUGAGUGGAAUUCCCAGUGUAGAGGUGAAAUUCGUAGAUAUUGGGAAGAACACCGGUGGCGAAGGCGGCUCACUGGCUCAUUACUGACGCUCAUGCGCGACAGCGUGGGGAUCAAACAGG